UACGGGAGGCAGCAGUGGGGAAUAUUGCACAAUGGGCGAAAGCCUGAUGCAGCAACGCCGCGUGAGGGACGACGGCCUUCGGGUUGUAAACCUCUUUUAGCAGGGAAGAAGCGAAAGUGACGGUACCUGCAGAAAAAGCGCCGGCUAACUACGUGCCAGCAGCCGCGGUAAUACGUAGGGCGCAAGCGUUAUCCGGAAUUAUUGGGCGUAAAGAGCUCGUAGGCGGUUUGUCGCGUCUGCUGUGAAAUCCCGAGGCUCAACCUCGGGUCUGCAGUGGGUACGGGCAGACUAGAGUGCGGUAGGGGAGAUUGGAAUUCCUGGUGUAGCGGUGGAAUGCGCAGAUAUCAGGAGGAACACCGAUGGCGAAGGCAGAUCUCUGGGCCGUAACUGACGCUGAGGAGCGAAAGGGUGGGGAGCAAACAGGCUUAGAUACCCUGGUAGUCCACCCCGUAAACGUUGGGAACUAGUUGUGGGGUCCAUUCCACGGAUUCCGUGACGCAGCUAACGCAUUAAGUUCCCCGCCUGGGGAGUACGGCCGCAAGGCUAAAACUCAAAGGAAUUGACGGGGACCCGCACAAGCGGCGGAGCAUGCGGAUUAAUUCGAUGCAACGCGAAGAACCUUACCAAGGCUUGACAUAUACGAGAACGGGCCAGAAAUGGUCAACUCUUUGGACACUCGUAAACAGGUGGUGCAUGGUUGUCGUCAGCUCGUGUCGUGAGAUGUUGGGUUAAGUCCCGCAACGAGCGCAACCCUCGUUCUAUGUUGCCAGCACGUAAUGGUGGGAACUCAUGGGAUACUGCCGGGGUCAACUCGGAGGAAGGUGGGGAUGACGUCAAAUCAUCAUGCCCCUUAUGUCUUGGGCUUCACGCAUGCUACAAUGGCCGGUACAAAGGGCUGCAAUACCGUAAGGUGGAGCGAAUCCCAAAAAGCCGGUCCCAGUUCGGAUUGAGGUCUGCAACUCGACCUCAUGAAGUCGGAGUCGCUAGUAAUCGCAGAUCAGCAACGCUGCGGUGAAUACGUUCCCGGGUCUUGUACACACCGCCCGUCAAGUCAUGAAAGUCGGUAACACCUGAAGCCGGUGGCCCAACCCUUGUGGAGGGAGCC
rnacentral:rRNA from 1 species